rnacentral:misc_RNA from 1 species
GCAUGUGAAAGAUACUUGUUUCAAGUUAAAUGGUUAUCCGGAUUGGUGUAAAGGUAGAAGGAAUUCACAGGGCACUAAUUCUGCUAGCAUUACUUCUGUUGGUUCUCAACAACAGCAGCAACUGAAGUCUACUCAUCAAAAUGCACAUAAUAGAUUUGUAACAGCUUAUGUGGCAGAAACUCCUCUUGAAAGGGAAGUAUCAGCUAGUACUGAUAGGAUUGAGGAAAUAAGUGCCUUGCUGGGUAACUUACAGCAGGAAGUGCAGCACUCGUUGAAAGGAAAAAGCUCUGUUGUAGCAUCUGCUGUUUCUCAACAACGAGUGCUGCACUUUCUGCUCUUUCUAGUGUUAAUUGUGUUUAUACAUAUUUGGAUCAUGUCUGGAUCAUUGACACAGGGGGCCACUGAUCACAUGACCCCCAAUUCUACAUUUUUUUCAAAAUUUACUAAUGUUGUUGUUCCAAUUUCAGUACAUUUACCAAAUGGUAGUUGCUCUCAAGUAACUAAAACUGGAAAUGUUUGUCUUUCACCUUCCCUGACCUUGUUUGAUGCCUUAUUUGUUCCUGAUUUUCAUUAUAACUUUUUUUCUGUUCCCAAAUUGCUUUCUACAGUUCAAAUGUCUAUCUUCUUCCCUGCUGCUUAUUGUUUCUUUCAGGACCUGAGGACUGAUACAAUAGUGGCACUGGGAAAAGUGGUUCAAGGCCUCUAUACAUUGGAUCAUUCCAGUUUUUUGCCUUCAAUGAUAGCUAAAUGUUUGUCUGAAACUUCAAUUGUACCUUCCGUUGCCUCUCAAAAUGGCUCUAAUACAAAUUUGCAUUCUUGUCAACUCACUCAAUUAGAUUACUCCAUGUUACAUGCUAGAUUGGGACAUGCUUCUAUUAAUAAAAUUAGACACCUUACUGGUUUUCGUUUUCUAAUUCAGAUAUUUUAAUUUUUCCUUUAGCUAAGCUUCAUAGAUUGCCAUUUGUUGACAGUAAAUCUCAUUCUUCUUUUCCUUUUGCCUUAUUGCACAUUGAUGUGUGGAGACCCUAUAGGGUUCAAUCUGUCACAGGGGCUCAUUAUUUUUUAACUAUAAUUGAUGAUUGUAGUCGAGCCACUUGGACUUAUAUGAUGCAGUCCAAGAGUCAAACAUUUCACACAUUGAGACAAUUUAUUCAAUAUGUAGCAACUCAAUUUCAUACCUCUAUUCUAGUCAUAAGAAAUGACAAUGGUAGUGAAUUUGUUAACAAGUCUUGCAAAGAUUUUUUUUGCCAUGAAAGGUAUUGUUCAUCAGUUAACCUGUCCAUAUACUCCACAGCAAAAUGAAAUAGUGGAGA